rnacentral:rRNA from 1 species
GUUGUCCGGAUUUAUUGGGCGUAAAGCGAGCGUAGGCGGUGAUUAAAGUCUGAUGUGAAAGCCCCCAGCUCAACUGGGGAGGGUCAUUGGAAACGGGAUCACUUGAGUGCAGAAGAGGAGAGUGGAAUUCCAUGUGUAGGGGUGAAAUGCGUAGAUAUAUGAAGGAACCACCAGUGGAGAAGGCGGGCUUUCUGGUCUGUAACUGACGCUGAGACUCGAAAGCGUGGGUAGCAAACAGGAUUAGAUACCCUGGUAGUGCACGCUGUUAACGAUGAGUGCUAAGUGUUGGAGGGUUUCCGCCCUUCAGUGCUGCAGUUAACGCAUUAAGCACUCCGCCUGGGGAGUACGACCGCAAGGUUGAAACUCAAAGGAAUUGACGGGGGCCCGCACAAGCGGUGGAGCAUGUGGUUUAAUUCGAAGCAACGCGAAGAACCUUACCAGGUCUUGACAUCCUUUGACCGCCCUAGAGAUAGGGUUUCCCCUUCGGGGGCAAAGUGACAGGUGGUGCAUGGUUGUCGUCAGCUCGUGUCGUGAGAUGUUGGGUUAAGUCCCGUAACGAGCGCAACCCUUAUUGUUAGUUGCCAGCAUUGAGUUGGGCACUCUAGCAAGACUGCCGGUGACAAACCGGAGGAAGGCGGGGAUGACGUCAAAUCAUCAUGCCCCUUGUGACCUGGGCUACACACGUGUUACAAUGGGAAGUACAACGAGCAAGCCAAGCCGCAAGGCCUAGCGAAUCUCUGAAAGCUUCUCUCAGUUCGGAUUGCAGGCUGCAACUCGCUUGCAUGAAGCCGGAAUCGCUAGUAAUUGCGGAUCAGCAUGCCGCGGUGAAUCCGUUCCCGGGCCUUGUACACACCGCCCGUCACACCACGAGAGUUUGUAACACCCAAAGUCGGUGCGGCAACCCUUAGGGGAGCCCAGCCCGCC